GACGAACGCUGGCGGCGUGCCUAACACAUGCAAGUCGAACGGAAGCAAAGAUUUCGGUUUUUGCUUUAGUGGCGAACGGGUGAGUAACGCGUGAGGAACCUGCCUUUCAGUGGGGGACAACAGUUGGAAACGACUGCUAAUACCGCAUAAUGCUUUUGAGUGGCAUCACUUAAAAGUCAAAGAUUUAUUGCUGAAAGAUGGCCUCGCGUCUGAUUAGCUAGUUGGCGGGGUAACGGCCCACCAAGGCGACGAUCAGUAGCCGGUCUGAGAGGAUGAACGGCCACAUUGGGACUGAGAUACGGCCCAGACUCCUACGGGAGGCAGCAGUGGGGAAUAUUGGGCAAUGGGGGAAACCCUGACCCAGCAACGCCGCGUGAAGGAAGAAGGCCUUCGGGUUGGUAAACUUCUUUACCUAGGGCGAAGAAAUGACGGUACCUGGAGAAAAGACAACGGCGUAACUAACGUG
rnacentral:rRNA from 1 species